rnacentral:rRNA from 1 species
UGGGGGAUAUUGCACAAUGGGCGAAAGCCUGAUGCAGCGACGCCGCGUGGGGGAUGAAGGCCUUCGGGUUGUAAACUUCUUUUGCUCUGAACAAGGUGCACCGUGGGGUGUGUUGAGUGUAGGGGUUGAUUAGCGCCGGCUAACUACGUGCCAGCAGCCGCGGUAAUACGUAGGGCGCGAGCGUUGUCCGGAAUUAUUGGGCGUAAAGGGCUUGUAGGUGGCUGGUUGCGUCUGUCGUGAAAGCUCAUGGCUUAACUGUGGGUUUGCGGUGGGUACGGGCUGGCUUGAGUGCAGUAGGGGAGGCUGGAAUUCCUGGUGUAGCGGUGGAAUGCGCAGAUAUCAGGAGGAAUACCGGUAGCGAAGGCGGGUCUCUGGGCUGUUACUGACACUGAGGAGCGAAAGCAUGGGGAGCGAACAGG